ACGCGAAGAACCUUACCAGGUCUUGACAUCCCGAUGCUAUUCCUAGAGAUAGGAAGUUUCUUCGGAACAUCGGUGACAGGUGGUGCAUGGUUGUCGUCAGCUCGUGUCGUGAGAUGUUGGGUUAAGUCCCGCAACGAGCGCAACCCCUAUUGUUAGUUGCCAUCAUUAAGUUGGGCACUCUAGCGAGACUGCCGGUAAUAAACCGGAGGAAGGUGGGGAUGACGUCAAAUCAUCAUGCCCCUUAUGACCUGGGCUACACACGUGCUACAAUGGUUGGUACAACGAGUCGCGAGUCGGUGACGGCAAGCAAAUCUCUUAAAGCCAAUCUCAGUUCGGAUUGUAGGCUGCAACUCGCCUACAUGAAGUGCGGAAUCGCUAGU
rnacentral:rRNA from 1 species